CGUUUUUAUUUGCAGGCUGUUAUAUGCUACUGAAUCAACCAGAUGGCAAAGCAAACUAAUGUUAUAAGCAGGUAUUCUAAGGUCCCGAAGCAGCAGGGGGCGACCGGGUGCCUAUUUGGGAUCCGGCGCUCCUCCAGGAUCGGCCGGAUGAUCCACAGCUACCUGCGUCUGAUCCCCGGCGUGGCCAACGACCCUGAGGGCAUGGCCGAGACCACAGAGCUCUACGACAACUGGCUGAAGCUGGAGCUGAUCGACCACUACGAGAGGAUGACCAACAAGAAGAGGAUGGGCUCCGAGGCCAUGAGGCAGUGGCUUGCUGGCGCCGCCGUCCACAUGCACAUGAGGAUCCACCAGGUGAGACUGAAAUCGGUGCCUCUUGGCUCGGCCGAGUCCCUGCGCCUCUCUUACAGGACGGCUUUCGCCCAGCUGGUGCAGGACUACGCAUCCUACCUCCGCCGAAACAUCCGGGAAACCCCGCCUUCAGGCACAUACAAACCCAACGCGGCCCAGCCAGGCGAGCGAACACCGGCGGCUACGACGUUCCAGCGCCUCACCGACCACGGGACCCGGAAGGAACCGAGUGAGACAGAGGGAGCAGGGGUAGCCGUCUGCGUGGGGGCGACGAUGGGUAACGUCAGCCUGGCCUGCCCAAUGAAUGACCUCAACGGGACCGGCCCCGACGGGCAUAACUCAACCACCGCAGCGAACCAAGCGGCAGCUUUUAGCGGAGGAUCCAAUGAGGUUACGGGGCAAACAGGUCCAAAACAGAUGGAUAAUAAUAAUGACGUGGGCCCUGAAAGAGGUGCAGCCAGUGUGUUGAGUGGUGUUGGCGGGGCUGCGCAGCCAACAGCCAGUGACGGUCUGUUAGUCAUUGAAGCCAUGAGGAACGUGAGUCAUGGUGUACGGCAUCGGGCCUGUGAGUCUCCAGUCAUAGAGCAAGCCCUGGCCACCCUCAUUUCAGAGGCGCAGGACCUGGAAGAGAGCAGGGACUUUUUCCUGUACCCCCGGCCACUGCUUGACAAUCUGCUCGGCCAGAGAGCUGACUUUGACUUGAAGAUAAGAUGGCGGAAAACUAUUUGA
rnacentral:lncRNA from 1 species